AAUUUUCAACAACGGAUCUCUUGGCUCUCGCAUCGAUGAAGAACGCAGCGAAAUGCGAUAAGUAAUGUGAAUUGCAGAUUUCAGUGAAUCAUCGAAUCUUUGAACGCACCUUGCGCUCCUUGGUAUUCCGAGGAGCAUGCCUGUUUGAGUGUCAU
rnacentral:rRNA from 1 species